UACGGAAGGUCCGGGCGUUAUCCGGAUUUAUUGGGUUUAAAGGGAGCGUAGGCCGGAGAUUAAGCGUGUUGUGAAAUGUAGAUGCUCAACAUCUGAACUGCAGCGCGAACUGGUUUCCUUGAGUACGCACAAAGUGGGCGGAAUUCGUGGUGUAGCGGUGAAAUGCUUAGAUAUCACGAAGAACUCCGAUUGUGAAGGCAGCUCACUGGAGCGCAACUGACGCUGAAGCUCGAAAGUGCGGGUAUCGAACAGG
rnacentral:rRNA from 1 species